CCUACGGGCGGCAGCAGUGAGGAAUAUUGGUCAAUGGACGAGAGUCUGAUCCAGCCAAGUAGCGUGAAGGAUGACUGCCCUAUGGGUUGUAAACAUUUUUUAUAUGGGAAUAAAAUGUUCCACGUGUGGGAUUAUGUAUGUACCUUAUGAAUAAGGGUCGGCUAACUCCGUGCCAGCAGCCGCAGUAAUGCGGAGGAUCCGAGCGUUAUCCGGAUUUAUUUGGGUUAACGGGAGCGUAGGUGGAUUGUUAAGUCAGUUGUGAAAGUCUGCGGCUCAACCUUACAAUUGCAUUUGAAACUGGCAGUCUUGAGUACAGUAGAGGUGGGCAGAAUUCGUGGUGUAGCGGUGAAAUGCGUAGAGAUCUCGAAGAACUCCGGUGGCGAAGGCGGUUCACUGGACUACAACUGACACUGAGGCUCGAAAGUGUGGGUAUCAAACAGGAUUAGAUACCCCAGUAGUC
rnacentral:rRNA from 1 species